rnacentral:rRNA from 1 species
UACAGAGGUCCCGAGCGUUGUUCGGAUUCACUGGGCGUAAAGGGUGCGUAGGUGGUGGGGUAAGUCGGAUGUGAAAGCUCGGAGCUCAACUCCGAAAUGGCAUUGGAAACUACCCUGCUAGAGGAUUGGAGGGGGGACUGGAAUACUUGGUGUAGCAGUGAAAUGCGUAGAUAUCAGGAGGAACACCGGUGGCGAAAGCGCGUGACUGGGCCACAACUGACGCUGAGGAACGAAAGCCAGGGGAGCAAAAGGG